CUGAGAGAGAUGAAGAUGCUCGCUAUCACUAGGAUGUCCGCGCGCAUAGCUAGUGUAAGUAUCGUCUACAAGACGACGAUGCGUAGCCGACCUGAGAGGGUGAUCGGCCACACUGAGACUGAGACACGGCCCAGACUCCUACGGGAGGCAGCAGUAGGGAAUCUUCCGCAAUGGACGAAAGUCUGACGGAGCAACGCCGCGUGAGUGAGGAAGGCCUUCGGGUCGUAAAGCUCUGUUGUGAGGGAAGAAGCGGUACCGUUCGAAUAGGGCGGUACCUUGACGGUACCUCACCAGAAAGCCACGGCUAACUACGUGCCAGCAGCCGCGGUAAUACGUAGGUGGCAAGCGUUGUCCGGAAUUAUUGGGCGUAAAGCGCGCGCAGGCGGCUUCUUAAGUCUGAUGUGAAAUCUCGGGGCUCAACCCCGAGCGGCCAUUGGAAACUGGGGAGCUUGAGUGCAGAAGAGGAGAGUGGAAUUCCACGUGUAGCGGUGAAAUGCGUAGAGAUGUGGAGGAACACCAGUGGCGAAGGCGACUCUCUGGUCUGUAACUGACGCUGAGGCGCGAAAGCGUGGGGAGCAAACAGGAUUAGAUACCCUGGUAGUCCACGCCGUAAACGAUGAGUGCUAGGUGUUAGGGGUUUCGAUGCCCGUAGUGCCGAAGUAACACAUAAGC
rnacentral:rRNA from 2 species